AACGAAAGAAAAAUUUCAUUUCAAUCGAGUUUCUCGGAUAUAACCGAUCAACGGUUGUACAUCGAUCAAUCGGUUUCAAUCGUUCUACACCUGGCCACGCGUUCCAAUUUCUCUGCCCGGCCGACUCGGAUUUUUGUCCCGGAAGCGCGCGCGCCCACGCUCGAGCCGAGAGAGGCGACAACGAUCUCGUUCGUCGAGUUGCGCAAGCCGGCCCACGAGUGUCGCCUCGCGUCGUCACGCGACCAUCCCGUGGAACGAGUUCGUGAAAAUUUUUCGAUCCUCUUCGACCGAACAUUUCUGCGUGUUGGCACGCGAGAGCUUUGCUCGAGUUCGUACGCGAUUAAAACCAGGUUCCGUUUCUGGUUAAGGUCGGCGAGGAUGUGACGUUGUUGCUGUGGUUUCAAAGAGUGGCGUCCGUGCGAUUUCGUUUCGAGAUAUUUCAUUCAUGUUCUCGCAUUCCGUCGUUGUAGAGGUACGAACGUUUAAUCGAUUAAAUUUUGUCGAAUAAAAUUUUUGUGAAUAGUGUUUCGUAGAAUCGACGAGAGCACGAUUCGAACAGGUGAGAGAAUAUCGACGAGGUUAGGAUUCGCGUUGUUGCGAUUUUAGAGAAUGGCGAUCGCGCGAUUGUCCAAUGUUGUCGAUUAAAUUCGGGAAUCAACCAUCAAAUUUGUGCGAAUAUUGUUUUAGAAUCGACAAGAGCGCUAUUCGACUAAGUGAGAGAAGAUCGACGAGGUUAGAAUUGGUACUGUUGGAAUCUUAAGCAGCGACGAUUUUGUUCCAACACGUUAUUCUUGUGUUAUCAGAUAACGAUAUGAUACAAGUAUUUAAUUGUACAUAUCGCUUCGAUUAAAUUUUAUCAAAUUCGGGACUUGGCAAAAAUUAAAAUUGAACCUUGAAAUUCUCUUAGGAGAUUCAGAAUGGAUUCAAGCACAAUUCGUACAAGUGAGAAAUAUUGAUGAGGUUAGAUGCUGUUGCGAUAAAUGAGAAAUGACGACGAUACAUUACAAGUGCGAUUUUGUUUGAAAAGUGCAUCGUUCUUGUUCGUUGAAUUUUUAUAAAUCUUAUUCGAAAUCCAAUGAAAUUUUUUCGAGCAAAAGUUUUUCAAAUAAUUGACUCGAAUAAUAACUCGACCAAUAUUGCGAAAAUAAAUAAUUCGUUGGCGAUUAUUUUGUUCGAUCGCUAUCGAUCAUGGUAAUAGAUUCUCACCUGUCUACACGCACUUCAAACAAACGUACGAAUGCUUUUUCAUUAUCGUACGUUAACGGGUGGAAAAAAAUACGUCGAUGGAUACGUUUCGACGUAUUCGUAAAAAAAAAAAAAAAUACACGCACACAAUCUAACAGCAUUUUUCACAGGUCGGUCACUUAACGAUUCAUUUUUUGCUUCGUUUCGUUCUGUUUUUUUCUCCCCAGCCUUGUUAUUUCAAUACACAACGUAGCUCGACUUGUUUUUCUACGUCAUUUUAAAAUCACCACGAUGGACCACACACCGAGGAAUUAUUACUUUUUCCAUCGAAUAGAGACGGUAUAAUGUCGCUUAAUAUCCGUAUUCAAUACGUUAUUACGCGAUUCCAUAAUGAUCGUAUUUGCGUCAACGAGAUCGAAUUCCUCGCGGUUUCGCGUUCGUACGAUACGUUUCGAUAAUUAUACGAUUUAAGCUUCUUUCACGACGUGCAACAUAAGUGAAAUAUCGUAACAAUUUAUCGCGCCCGAUUUUUUCCCCCCUUUGCAACCAGAUAUUUGGACAUUGAUGAAUUUUCGUCACUAGAAUUAAUCCAGAUCGCUAUCGAUCACAUUCUAUUUUCCACUUCUUACAAACGUUCUCUAUUCAAAUUUUACGUGUUAAAUUAUCUAUUUUUCCCCCCUUUUUUUCUUUUGUAAAAUCAAUUCCGACAGAUAUGCGGGCAGCCGAUAGAAAACGAAGGCGAUCGAUAACGUAUUGUAAAUAAUGAAAAUAAUUUAUAUUCCCCGAUAUUUUUCCACUUCUAUUAACUAGAUAGGAAAAUACAUGGACGUAAGUAGGUCGAUCGAAUCAAUUCGCGAUCCGCAUUGAUAAGAGCGACCAAAUAUUUCUAGAGUUAGAUGACUAAUAGUUUAGAACUGGUUUUUUCUAGAAAAAAUUCCAAUUUAAAAUAAUUUUCUCCCUUUAUAACUAUCAUCAAUCUCUCCUUUCCUUUAUUCUUUCUUCUUUUUUUUUCUCUUCUUCUUCUUCUUUCAUCUCCACAAAAUGACGACUCCAAUGGAAACAUCCGUUCCGAUUAGACGGUCCAUGGCCGUCACUCGACAUCCGGCCAGCAUGAGAAAUUGAAAAGUAAUGAGACGAGAUAUAUCCGGGUAAUGUCAGGAUCGUUGACGGAUAGUGAAAUUACGUAUCCAGGCGUAUGAUCGAUUAUUAUUUUUAUCAAUGACAAGACACGUUAAUUAUUCGCUACUUAUUUAUCCGUAAUAGGCGGACAAGGAACGACUUUAAACGGUUUCUAGACAUCGAAAAUUGAUCGAAACAGAUUACACUCGCGCGAAUCGGCCGAAUGGACAGAUACGUAUGGAUAAAGUUGAUACAUCACGCUCGUGAUAAUUCUCAUUUACCAGAUAUUUCCUAUUAAACGGCGCGAUAGAGGUUUACGUGUGUAUAAACUCGAAGGAAUUAUUGAUGAUCCGGUGGAUGAAAUAUCAUGCGAAUAUAACGCGUUUAAAGUAAUUUGAUGCUUGGAUAAAUUGCGUACAAUGAAAAUAACGAGCUCGUAGCUCGAAGAUAUACGCAUUUUGUCGCGUCCAAUCUCCUUCAAAAAUAAAUUUUCAAACGUUCCGUCAUUUCUUUCAUUUCCUUUUCCACGUAAAUUUAACCCUGCUAUUUUUCUAUACUUAGCGUCAUCCGAAGAAAUUUCGAAAAACAAAUCGAAUAAUCACCUUUAUCCUUUAUCAUUUCCGAUUAUAAGAGAAAAAAGAAGCUCGCGUGAGCAAAUUAAUAGAAAAUCCUGGGCGCCAUUACGCGUGACACGAGUGCAUUAAGUUUCUAGAUGCACCUGCAAAGAUAGGAGGAUCCGUGCAAUGCAUACGUUACGUCUUACGUGCCUCCUCGUCUUAACACGGCCACCUCUCGGACAGAUUUACUGCGCAUUUUUCUUCCUAUUCUUCUCCCUUACUCGCCUCCGCCCCGAAUCCUGUAAAACUCGAAACGAUCUCUCACGACCGGAUCAAAGGAUUUGAUUUAUAGAGGAUCGAUUUCUGAAGAUCAUCGGCCGAGAAGAAAUUCAUCGAUGAUCAAUCACGGCGAGCGAGAUGGAUAGAAAGUAUCCACCCUCGAUGAGACGAGCAUUCGAGGCGACGUUGUUGCUCGUUUUGCCAUCGACAAAGACGAGAUAGAAUAGGUAUAUUCAAAAUGGAUCCUUCUUGGAUCGUUGCCGAGGUCGCAAUCCGUCUUCCAACGGGGUUAUGACAGGAUAAUAAUUAGUAAGUGGCUACCGAUCGAGGCUGACGAACGAGGUAAAUAAAAGGAGCGGAGAGAAAUGAGAUCUCGGCCAAAGUAUAAAUUGAUAGAAGUUCAUUACGUCAUUACGCGUGAAACUGUUUACCUCACCGAGGUAGCCAAGCGUUGCACAGAGGCGCACUAAUAAUACGAUAUGCAGUUACGAUUGGCGCAGGUGAUCGAAGCUGUUUCUAAUCGAUUUUGAUCGGUGAUCGACGAAUAACCAGUUGGGAACACUUUUCUCGGACGGAAUAAUAAUGAGAUAAUAACGUUCGAAUCGAACAGAAUCGAACAAUCUUGAUUCUUCUCAAAGAGGGGGAGGGAAAAAAAAAGUUCCGUAUAUUUCCAAUUUAUCGACAAUUUCCCUUGUUUCCAGUAUUUGAAAAUGUUAUAUUUUAAGCUACUUUUAAGAAUCGUGAAUUCGUUUAUACGAAAUAAUUUUCGGGAUGGAGAGAAUUCUUUUUGAAUUUGAUAAAAUUUUCGGUUCGAAGACACUCGUAGCUGGUUGGAUUUGUUUGGAAUAGGGGGAGGAGGGGAAUACGGCCCCUUCUUUUCGCUUCGAUCCUUGGAACUGUUGCCUCUUCCAGGAUUGGAUGGUUAACCCCUAUGCCCAACCCCUUUUCAGCCAGCCUUGACGACAGCCAGGGGUUACCAAGGGUGUAGUGUCCUGGCCCCCCACCCUGGCAAGGAACAUUCCGGUUCGUUUCCUUCUGCAAAGUUAAAAAUGGAGAAACAGGGUGUGGCGUGUUGUACGGAUCGUAUGGUUUAACAUAUAACGAAGGAAACGGACGAAAAAAAAUAAAAUAUUACGAAUAAUUUAUUCUCGAAUUAUUCCCAAUCUAUCAAAUUGAUAGCGUUUCGCAGAGAUACACAGAACGUAAUACGAGAAUGUAAAUUUAACGUUCUUACUUUUUUCCCCUCCACGAUGUACUAAUUAGCACGAAAUUAGUUGAAUCGGAAAAUAAAGUAUCUCCCUGCUAUUCGCUCUAUAUAUUUUAUCCCUAUCGCGAUAUAUAAAGGAAAAAGGAAAAGGAAAAGAAGAAGGAAAAAAAACGAUCUUUUAAAAUUAAUAAUCUCGAUAACCUAACCUAACCUAUAACUCUAAUUAGUCGUGUUGCGUUAAAUCCAGCCUGUAUAAAAUAUCCCCAAGUGCGCAAGUAAGUAAUUCCAACUGCGCAACAUUCAUUUUCAAGCUUUCCACCCAGAGCCCCACCUUUCUCGGAAUCAACAGGCUUAUCAACGGCCAACAACUUGAAAGAAGGCGGAACGACAAUUUGCGGGGGAAUUGGGGCAAGAACGCGCGAGCAGGUUGCAAUUUAAGGAAGGAGGAAGUACGUGAGGGGCGAGGGGUACGCGCGAGGCAAAUUGAUAGAGGAUAAGGCCAAAAUUAUACGAUUAGCCGUGAAGCUGUUUGUUACGUCGAGGUAAGACGGCCGUCAUAUAUAUAUAUAUAUAACGAAUGGAAAGAAAAGAGGGGGAAGAGAGAGAGAGAGAGAGAGAGAGAGAGAGAGAGAGAGAGAGAGAAGAUAGCGGAUGCAACGAGCAAUUUGAACGUGUCGAAACGUUUCGACGUCGUUCAUUAAGACGGUACGUGAAGCAGGAGAGAGGAUCGACGGUGGUGGCGCUGUUGCACGUCCAGGGAUCGCCGUUUACCCGAGAUUCCAUCGAUAAUCGCGGGUUGAGCGUAGAUCGGGCGGAGCCCGGAACGAAACGCGCGACCGGUCACCUCGGCGACCAGGCUCUCCUCGCGCUCCAGGAAUUUGUUGCGCGAAACUCUUCCGAUCGGGAAUUCAGUUGGAAGUUUCAUUUCGUUUGAACUUUAAGAAAUUUGAGAUUUUUUUAAGAUGCGAGGGAAGAAAGAGUUUGAAAAGGAUGUGAUGAAUAUUUAUUUUUAAGAUUUGAGAUUUGAAGUUUAAAGAGAAUUGGAAAUGAAGGAGAAAGAAGUAUUUUGUAUAAAGAUUUGUGAAUGCUUUUUGAUCUGAUGAUUGUAUAAUGAUUGUAUAAUGAUUGUAUCAGAGAAGUUUGGAAAGGAUUUGAGAUUUGAAGUUUAAAGAGAAUUGGAAAUGAAGGAGAAAGAAGUAUUUUGUAUAAAGAUUUGUGUGAAUAUUUUCUGAUUUAAUGAUUGUAUAAUGAUUCUAUCAGAAAAGUUUGGAAAGUUUGAUUUGAGAUUUGAAGUUUAAAGAGAAUUGGAAAUGAAGAAGAAAGAAGUAUUUUAUAUAAAACUUUGUAUUUUCUAAUUUAAUGAUUGUAUAAUGGUUAUAUCAGAGACAUUUGGAAAGGAUUUGAGAUUUGAAGUUUAAAGAGAAUUGGAAAUGAAGGAGGAAGAAGUAUUUUAUAUAAAGAUUUGUGUGAAUAUUUUCUGAUUUAAUGAUUGUAUAAUGAUUGUAUGUCAGAAAAGUUUGGAAAGGAUUUAAGAUUUGAGGUUUCAAGAGAAUUGGAAAUGAAGAAGUAUUUUAUAUAAAGAUUUGUGUGAAUAUUUUCUGAUUUAAUGAUUGUAUAAUGAUUGUAUGUCAGAAAAGUUUGGAAAGGAUUUGAGAUUUGAAGUUUAAAGAGAAUUGGAAAUGAAGGAGAAAGAAGUAUUUUGUAUAAAACUUUGUGAAUGCUUUUGAUCUGAUGAUUGUAUAAUGAUUGUAUUAUAGAAGUUUGGAAAGAGUAUGAAUAUUUUUGAGAUUUGAAAUGUCUUUUGACUUGAUGACUAUGAUUAUAUUGAAGAAAUUUGAAAGAGAUAUGUAUGAUGAUGAAUAUUUAUUUUUGAGAUUUGAGAUUUGAAGUUUAAACAAAGUAGAGAUGAAAGAUGAAGUAUGUUGUAUAAAGUUUUGUGAAUAUCUUCUGAUUUUACAUUUUAUUACAUUUUUUACAUUUUAAAAAUUGGGAAGAGUAUGUAUGGUUAUGAAUAUUUAUUUUUGAGAUUUGAGGUUUGAAGUUUAAAGAGAAUUGGAAAUUAAGGAAAAAGAAGUACGAUUGUUUUAAAGAAAUUUUGGAAAUAGAUAUAAAUAUUUAUUUUUGAGAUUUCAAAUGCCUUUUGACUCUAUACGUAUAAUUAUACCGAAGAAGUGUAUGAAUAUUUAUUUUUAAGAUUUGAAAUUUAAAAAAGAAAUGAAAGAGAAAAUGUUAUAUUUUGAUCCGAAUAGUACAAAAUACUUUCAUCUUUUGACUUUCGAAGAAAAAGAAAUUUGGAGAGACAAGAUAAACAUUUCUCGACACUCAUUUUAUAUUUCAUCUCUGUCCAACUCUGAUCGCCAUAUUACAUUCUUUCUCCGUGCAAAGAUGAUGCCGUGUUGCCAUGUGUUUUUACGAGAACGUUCGACAUUUUAAGACAAUAUAAAACAUUGUUCCCUCCUACCGAUCGAACAAAAUUUACCAGGCUUAGUUCGAUUUUCCGUGCAGAUCCCUCGAUCGAAAUAGACCGUGACCACCUCUCGAGAGUGAAUCAUUCAAGUUCACGCGAACAAGCUGUGAAAUACACAUUUGAAUACGAAUAACACGAAGAUUGUUUUUUUUUCCCAAGCAACCAACCGAAUCAUUGUUAUUACCGUAAAUUGUGAUAUUGUCCCGAUUUUUUUCGAAGAUUUCACGGACUGGUGGAAUGUUCGGUGCAAGGAAUGUGCGAAUCCGUAUUUCGAUCCGAAUUGUACAGGUUAAGUGCGCGAAGCAACUCGUCCAACUGUUUUCCAAACAUAACACCAAGUGAAUUUUCCAAGUUUUCUUAAACUUCUAUCGAUAUACGAGCAAGAUUGAAUAAUUCUGUACGUUUCACUCCUCGUAUCGUGUCCUUUUGAAAAAUUUUCGAAUGAUUCGAGUACUCGAUCUUAUUCUCGGAGCGGGUAUCCAUCGAGAAAUUGCAAUUCCAUAAAACUAAAACUAGUAUAAACAUUUUUAUUCUCUUUUUCUUUUCUUUUCUUUCUUUUUUUUACCUCGCAUAAUUCAGAAUUGAGCGAGCAGAGAUUUCACUGCUGACCGAUGAUCUAAUUGAUCGGUGGAGGGGAUAGGAAAGGUUUCGCGGUGAGAAAUCUCGAGAGGAUUGAAUACAAAAGCUAGCUAAGUGUCGUAUGAUCGAAAGCGCGCCAUUAUCUUCUGGGCGAUAAGAUCUGGCGACGUUCAAUCAAGAGCUUACACGGUGUAACCAAUGAUCUGGACGGGAGAAAAAGGGGAUGGAAAAGAAAGGAAAGAAACGUUCGCCAUUUGCAUACAACAUUGUGCAGCUUGCCCGUAAUCCCGUAAUCGUAAUCCCGAGUGGAACAAAUUGUUCUUAUCUCAACAAUUAUGCGCGGCGUAUAAGAUUUGCGAUCGAAUUGUUUUGAAAAGAAAAGGGA